UGCCAGCAGCUGGUAUUGCUCUACACCACGGGAAGCACAUCGAGUUCUCUUCUGCCCCUCCUUCUCAUCGAAGAAUUGAAACGCCAUAUUCAGCAGAUCUCUGUGAGGGAUUUGGGACCGAAUCUUUUUAAGUUUGUCUCCCCCACCCCAAUCUCAAGCACUGACUGGGAGAAGAAGUGAGUCUCGAAGAUAGGCAAGCCCACUUGGAUCUAACUGGGUGUGGACCAGCCUCUGUGAGUCAGAUUAUUGGAGAAUGAACAUUCCACUUACUGAAAACUCUUCCUCAGGAAGAUCUUCUGAGCCCAGCGUGGAGACACACAACUAUAAUCCAAGCACUUGAGAUACAGAGGUCAUGAGUUUAAGGCCAACCUGGGCUCUUACAGCAAGGCUGUCUCAAGGUCAAGCAAACAAAACCAGGAAAGUCUUCCCAAUGUCCAUUCUACCAGAGGGAAGCCAGCAUUUGAUCCACACAAAAUUAGUGAAGUGUCCAUGGCUCCCAUGACCGAGAACUGUGAAUGCCCCCAGAGACACUUCUUCAAGGGUUUGAGAGCAUUGGCAAGGCUGUUGGAUUUGGGGUGUUUGUGACGCCCGGAUCUAUUUCCAUAUCCGUUUCAAGUUCAUGUGCACGUAUGAUUUGAGCCUAAUGCCCAUGUGGCCAUCUAUCGUAAAAGGUUUCUUUAAGAAGAAAUCACAAUUCGGAGCCGAGGGAAAUGAACUUGAAAAUGCACUCACAAAGCAAUGGUUAAAGCCCAUCAUGAAUACAAAGUCAAAGACCACAGCAAAUAAAAUCUGCAGCUUCCUAAAGGAGCCAGCCAACGCCGCAUUCCAAAAUGACUCGCCGGCUCACACGGCGUCGACUUGUUCAAAAACUGUCCACUAGGUGGCACCCUGGUGCUGCCACAGGAUUGAGCCUCUCCUGUGGGUGGCUGCCUGUGACGUCUUCUGGGUUUCAUGAUACUUCAGCAUGUGGGUAGGCCACGGGGCAUGCCAACAACUGACAAUCGCCCUAGUCAUUUGCACAGAGAGGGGAAAAAAGUGUUUAUGGGUUGCUCAAGCAAGACAACCCGGGCAGGUUCCAGAGGACUCGCAGGGCAGGUUGAACAACUGAACCAUGAGUAGGUGGUUGGGAGCUAACACAAGCCUUCCUUUAUCCACAGCCAUAGACACAGGUGCCUCCACCUAUUUGGUUCUUAAUUUCAUAGUCUGGGGCAGGAUUCUGAGAAGAAAAACAGACAUCCACGACCUCGGCCCAGAUGAAAAUUGUAGGGCAUUUUCUCCUUAAUAAACAAACAGCUAUUAGAUGUCUGAUAUAACAUUAUUGGGCACCUUACGUUUUCUCGGGGAAGAAUGAAUACAGCUCAUACCUGGGUGUCUUGCAGUCUACCCAAGAAGGAAAGGUGUGUGCACGGGCGUGUGUGAAGUUGUUAUUGUCGGACUGUGCGCUGAGGAGAAAGCUAACUGGAGGCUGUGGGUGAGCGAGACUGGUCCUAAAGAAUGGCUUCAUUGUGGUCUACUGCCUGCUUCUGCCAGCUGAGCAGAGUGCAGACAGGCAGAGCCCCAGCUGUCCCUGUGCAGCAUGGGAAAGGGCAGCACUCCAGCUCAGCGCCAAUUCCAGAUGGAUUUCCCUUCCGUCAGUCAACCCUUCACUGAAAGCACCCGCUGACUCACUGGCCCAGUUUUGUAAAUCAUGUAGACUAUUUCAGACAUUGGAGCAAAUAUACCUGAUGAGUCAUUUGAUUUACCUAGUUGACUUAGAAAUUUGGAUCCAUGUUGGGCAGGGUGGUACAUGUCUGCAAUCCCAGUAAUACCAGCACUCCCUAGG